rnacentral:lncRNA from 1 species
GCAGGCAACUCAGCUGAGCACAGGCAGGGGUGGGGAAGCGUCCUUGGGCCCCUAGAAAGGUCUGAGACUAGGGCCUCCUGUGGCCCUAAUGAAGAUCUCCCCAAAUGGAAGAUGAGUUCCCAGAGUGGCAGAUGUCUCCUUCCACACGGGAGCGUAGAAUAGACUCCUGGUCACUCAUUUUGUUCAAUGAGUGGCUGCUACCCUUCCUGCCAGGAGAUGUGCUCACUCCCUGUCUGAACAAGAUGCAGAUGUAGGCUGU